GAUGAACGCUGGCGGCGUGCCUAAUACAUGCAAGUCGAGCGAACGGACGAGAAGCUUGCUUUUCUGAUGUUAGCGGCGGACGGGUGAGUAACACGUGGAUAACCUACCUAUAAGACUGGGAUAACUUCGGGAAACCGGAGCUAAUACCGGAUAAUCUUUUGAACCGCAUGGUUCAAAAGUGAAAGACGGUCUUGCUGUCACUUAUAGAUGGAUCCGCGCUGCAUUAGCUAGUUGGUAAGGUAACGGCUUACCACGGCAACGAUGCAUAGCCGACCUGAGAGGGUGAUAGGCCACACUGGAACUGAGACACGGUCCAGACUCCUACGGGAGGCAGCAGUAGGGAAUCUUCCGCAAUGGGCGAAAGCCUGACGGAGCAACGCCGCGUGAGUGAUGUAGGUCUUCGGAUCGUAAAACUCUGUUAUUAGGGAAGAACAUAUGUGUAAGUAACUGUGCACAUCUUGACGGUACCUAAUCAGAAAGCCACGGCUAACUACGUG
rnacentral:rRNA from 1 species